GUGAUGGAUUCGAAUACAGUGACCAAUGUUCCAUUAUGAUAGAGUAUGCAUGUAUACAUAUACUGCGUAGCUGCUGCUGACCGAGAAAUCUCUAUGCCUGGACAACCUGAAAAGAAGGCUGGACACAUGUGAAGAGGCACUGCUGAUAUGACAUGGACUGGCAACUCUACUGCCCAAAGGGUAGGACUAGGUAGGGACAAUUGCAAGCUGGUGUGGUGGGGACACACCGGUGAGGGCCUAAGACAGACACCUUCAGAGCGAGGGCAAGGAGUGUAAAAGCUGUUGUACAGUACAGCACCCACACCAUACAUACAUACAUAUACAUGCUGGAGUGCAUGUCUUCCCAGCAUCUCGAGAGGCCUUUUUGGUGGCCAGCUAAUACAUACACAUACACUGGGGGGAUGGCUGCAGUCUGCUUCAGAUCAGGCCUAUAUACUGCCAGCCAUCAUGAGCCAUACCUCCUGUAUGUCUGACCAGUACAGCGAGUACUUCCAGUGUAAACCCCUGUCCCACUCAGCCUGGCUUUGCGCAUGUGAUGAGCCACGAGCAAUUCAAUACGGUUGCGAGGAAUUUAAAUGUAGGACUAGAACUAUCUAGAACAGAAGCCGCUAGUGUUCUUGAUGUGAAUGUAAAUGUAUCUGCCCUGUUACCACAUAGCUGGUCUUGGGCUUUCUUCUCUGCCUAUCUCAGCAGACUGCUAAUGGUACUGCGGAGACAGGAUGAGUCACUGGGAUCUAUGCAGUG
rnacentral:lncRNA from 1 species